ACCAUUCCAGAAGUGAUUUCUUUAUUAUGGGAAUGUUUAUUAACGUGCACCCACAAAGAACCACGAUCAUGUGCAGUGCGUUCUCCCCCAUUUGACAAUUAUUAUGACCUUUGUUGUUCGCCAAGUAUUGCUUCUUAAAUCAUAAUGGAUUCCCCUACUGCAUGGGAUUCUCGGGCACUGAUUAAGUGGUUGUUCACCCG
rnacentral:lncRNA from 1 species